rnacentral:rRNA from 1 species
UACGGAGGGUGCAAGCGUUAUCCGGAUUCACUGGGUUUAAAGGGUGCGUAGGCGGGCAGGUAAGUCCGUGGUGAAAUCUCGGAGCUUAACUCCGAAACUGCAUUCGAUACUGCCGUGCUUGAGGACUGGAGAGGAGACUGGAAUUUACGGUGUAGCGGUGAAAUGCGUAGAUAUCGUAAGGAAGACCAGUGGCGAAGGCGGGUCUCUGGACAGUUCCUGACGCUGAGGCACGAAGGUCAGGGGAGCAAACGGG